CCCUUAGAUGUUCUGGGCCGCACGCGCGCUACACUGAUGCGUUCAACAAGUUUCCUUGGCCGAGAGGCCUGGGCAAUCUUCUUAAUAUGUAUCGUGAUAGGGAUAGAUUAUUGCAAUUAUUAAUCUUGAACGAGGAAUUCCUAGUAAACGCAGAUCAUCAAUCUGCAUUGAUUACGUCCCUGCCCUUUGUACACACCGCCCGUCGCACCUACCGAUUGGAUGUUCCGGUGAAGCCUCGGGAUGAGGACUGGUGCCUUUAUUGGUAUGAGUUGUUCAGAACUUGUCUAAACCUUAUCAUCUAGAGGAAGGUGAAGUCGUAACA
rnacentral:rRNA from 1 species